rnacentral:lncRNA from 1 species
UGGUUAAUUAUAAAAUUAUAGUUAAAAUUUGGGAAUCAAGAGCAGUUAUAUAGAAAUCGUAGAAGUUUGUUUGGAUGCUAGACUGUGAUAGUCAUGAGCCAAGGUAAGCUUGGUGCUACCUCUUUGUUUCUUUGUUUUCUUUGUUGUUGAAGAAUAAUGAAUAGUUUCUGAAUAUUGAGAAGUCAGUCUGUGGAAUAAAUCAGAGAUUGAUUUAUGAGUUAUUGUUUAUGUAAUUGGAGUAUUGAGUGAUUGAAUUAUAUUAGGAGUUAUUAAAAGAUUAUAAUUGUUGUUUAUUGAGAGCUAUGUGUGUUUUGGAUAAAGGAAGUUGGUGAUUAUAGAAAUUCUAUGAAUUCAAAUUGGUUGGAAUGAAGUCUGUUAUUU